CCCGCCCCUCCCCCCACAGCACCACAGCUUCUACGACUUCAUCGUCACCAAGGCCCGCGGCAAGAGCGGGCCCCUCUUCAACUUCGACGUCCACGACGACGUUCGGCUGCUCAGCGACGCCACCGUCGAGAAGGACGAGUCCCACGCGGGGAAGGUCGUCCUGCGCAGUUGGUACGAGAAGAACAAGCACAUCUUCCCUGCCUCCAGAUGGGAGCCCUUCGACCCCGAGAAGAGAUGGGACAAGUACACGGUGA